rnacentral:rRNA from 1 species
CUACGGGGGGCUGCAGUGGGGAAUAUUGCACAAUGGGCGCAAGCCUGAUGCAGCCAUGCCGCGUGUAUGAAGAAGGCCUUCGGGUUGUAAAGUACUUUCAGCGGGGAGGAAGGGAGUAAAGUUAAUACCUUUGCUCAUUGACGUUACCCGCAGAAGAAGCACCGGCUAACUCCGUGCCAGCAGCCGCGGUAAUACGGAGGGUGCAAGCGUUAAUCGGAAUUACUGGGCGUAAAGCGCACGCAGGCGGUUUGUUAAGUCAGAUGUGAAAUCCCCGGGCUCAACCUGGGAACUGCAUCUGAUACUGGCAAGCUCGAGACUCGUAGAGGGGGGUAGAAUUCCAGGUGUAGCGGUGAAAUGCGUAGAGAUCUGGAGGAAUACCGGUGGCGAAGGCGGCCCCCUGGACGAAGACUGACGCUCAGGUGCGAAAGCGUGGGGAGCAAACAGGAUUAGAUACCCCCGUAGUC